UAGCAUGUGUGAUGUUUGUUUCAGAGACUGAGUUUCUCUGUGUAGCUUUGUAGAUCAGACUGGUCUUGAACUCACAGAGAUCUGCCUGCCUAUGCCUCCGGAGUGCUUGGAUUAAAGGAGUUUGCUACCACACCCGGCACAAAUAAUUUUUUUGAAGAGGGAAGGUUCUUGGACUCAGAUGAAGAUUACUUGCUCAAGCAUAUGCAAGGCCUGGGGUGGGGGUGGGUGGUGGCAAGGUUGACUCUGAAAUCCAGGUCCCAUCCAAGGCUAUGACAGGACAACCUUUUUUGAUGACUCGGGCUAGGUCAUAGUUGAUUGUCAAGUCUCUGAGGAGUCAUUGUUUCUUGUUUCCCAUGGGCUCAGGUUCCCCUCCCCUCUCCAGUCCUGACUCAGCCUGUUGGAGGUUGGACAAGUUGAACCUCUGAAGACUCAGUUUCCUUGCCUAUAAUUGAGGCUAAUAAUAGCCCCCUCCUAGACACGAUUCAAUAAUUGCCAGGUACAGCACAGGCGCUUGGGACACGGUGACUUAGCCUGGCAAUUAACCAUACGCAGUGGCACCAUCAGUGACGUUCUGGCUGUAACGCUUACACCUGUUCGGCACUAUGGCGAGCCGUUUUACUUAUGUUUAUGUGCAGAGACAGGGUCGGUCUGAUUAUAACCCUGGAGCUCUCUAUGUGGACCAGGCUGGCCUUGAACUCAUGGAGAUCUGCUUGCCUAUGACUGCUGAGUCCUGGAAUUAAAGACACAUAGGCUGUCAAAGCAUGCUGGAAUCCUCUUGGGAACAUCUGGAGCCCUCUCCUUCCAUCACCUGGGCUAGUCUUGUGAUCAGGCCAGAAGGUCUGGUGAAAUCCUUGGGAUGUAGGAAGCACUAUUGAACGCUAGUGCGGCUCUCCGUCCACUCUUGGGUAACAAUUACCUCUCAGCAGCACCUUGCACUAAACGGAGCAAGUUGGUAGCCCAAAGACAUUUCCAACUACAAAGUACUUACUUCAAGAAGGAAGAGCCAGGGCACAUCACAAUCUGGACAAAGUCAAACCAAACUCCAACAGUGGGGGAAAAAACCCCACAAUAUCCAAUGUCUGGAACCCAAUCAUGAUCUUCUGGGCUCCUCCAAAGGGCCUGGGUCUCUUCUCCAGCUCUGCACUCUACGCUCCGGCUGGCUCCCCUCUGUACCUGGGGCUGUGCUUAGAGGUUGCCCAUCGUGCUCACUGGCGUCUCAAUGCUGGGGUCUUCAGCUACGGCUGGGCUGCACUUUCACCCAGCCUCUCCCAGGCUCUCUCCAGGGACUCCGACCCUGCCACACAGCGCCAAGUCUCAGCUGCCCUCCGGGACCCGUUCAUGCCCUCAAAACCAGCAGGAGGAAUGCAAAGCCUGGUAGACAAAACAUGAACCAGACCUGUUCCUCGGAACUCUGAAGUCAGUUUUCCUUGGCUUUGCUUUGACCAUUAAAAAAAAAAGAUUGCU